UACGAAGGGGCUAGCGUUGUUCGGAAUCACUGGGCGUAAAGGGCGCGUAGGCGGCCAUAUAAGUCGGGGGUGAAAGCCUGAUGGCUCAACCACAGAAUUGCCUUCGAUACUGUAUGGCUCGAGACCGGAAGAGGUAAGUGGAACUGCGAGUGUAGAGGUGAAAUUCGUAGAUAUUCGCAAGAACACCAGUGGCGAAGGCG
rnacentral:rRNA from 1 species